UUACUAAGCUUUGAAAUAUUGUCAUUACGCAAAAAUUAAAGUACGUAGAAUUUUAUGGUACCGACGGUAUUUGAGAGCCCCCACCUUUUCCCAAAGUAAACUUAAUUCAAAGAUGGAAACUCGAAAAAAAAAUUCUUAAUUCGUACUGAUAACAUAUAAAUGUAAAAGUAAAAUGUAUUAGGUAUAUUCAGUAUUUGGGAAAUAAGUACUGAAUACGUAUAGAAAUAGAAGAUGUAAUAAUUUUUUUGCUUUACCUGUCUGUCUAAUUUCGUGGGUUCCUUGGGAGGUAGAAGGUUUGGUCGAUGAUAAAGGAGUAAUGUGACGUUUAUCUAAUCCUAAACGUUAUUAGACAUGAUCAAGACUGCGUUUCUCAACUCGGCAGGCAAAAAAUGGAAUAACAGUGAAAGUAGUAUCAAUUUAAUGCACAUCGCCGUAUCUUUUACUGCAGGUAAAAACGACGUUCACGGUGGCCGACUUCAGGUGAAAAUCGCGUCCGCCCUCUGUCGUAUUUGUUCGUUAAAAAUCGGAAGUGUUCGUUAGCCAUGGCAUGUUGGUAAGUCCGUCAGUUCAGGUAAACGUUGGUCGUGGUUUAGGUGUGUUGUUGAAUGUUACGCUCGUAUGUGUUUAAUAAAAUCAUAGUUGAUAUUCGUCGAGACCAUUUUUACGUAUUAACGGCUUAUUUUUUACAAUUCGACUAUUCGUUUUCGUUUUUUUACUUGUUUCCAUUAAUUAUUCAUGUCGGUUUUAUAUGAUCGCGUAUAGUGUCUCUCGAACUCGCGUUGUUUAGCAUUUUUCUUUCAACCGAACAACUUUACUAAAAAUGUAGUGUAUGAUUAACAUGUGACUCCUUGGCUUUUUUUCUAAAAGCCUCAGUGCAAUGUGCUGUUUAGGUUGUGUGGAUUGGAAAAUGUCUGAAGUCCCAUGGGCCGCAUAUUCACGUACAUGUCUUUGAGAAUUUUGCAAUUGGCACACGUGAUGUCGGAAUGGGGCUCAGCAGCAAAAGGCUCUCCUAGUAGUGCAGCCAUAGCCCUGGUACCUAUUAAUAUACUUCAAUAUCACUUGCAAGCACUAACAACUGGACUCCAACAAUUUCUUACCAGAUUUUCAGGUCGAAGACGGCUUCAUAGCCACUUAUUAUAUGGUUGGCCACCAUGGACAUUAAUAGUUUUAGUAUUUUCUUCGUUAUUAAGUAUUACAGGUAAGAUUUGUAAAUUUAUUUAUCAGAGAACUAUUGCAGUUCGAAUAUUUAAUGUACAUAUUUAAAUUUUAACUUUCAUUAUUGAUUGUAUUCCUCAUGAUCGUUUAGGAAAUAAAGAUUAUUGAGGGGUAUCGAACACUAAUAUUUUAAAUAACUCGUUAUAACUUCAGAUCAUUGAUUCCUCACAGAUUUUAUUCUUGACGAAGGUUGUAUCGGGCGAAACAAUGGUAUUAAACGGUAUCGUCAAUAUCAAUACAUAAAAGCGUCCAAAAAUAGCAAAAAGUCUUAUCGAAAAACAUUUUAAUCGGCUAGUAUUGUGUCUGUGGCAUCCCGACGUUGGCGGCGUCCGGCGUUCUCUUGUUGCUGGAUUAUUGCCAAGGUGACGCCGCGUGCAUGCCAAGGUACGCUGUCUGGGACGUACCGGCAAGGCGACCGGCGUCGGGACGCGCUAUUUUCUAUUUAUCCGAACAUAUUUCAAUUUAUUUCCUCUUCACAAAAAUUUCAGUUGUAUGGUUAAUAAUAAUACCGUUUGCGUACAUAUUUGGCUUAGGAAUUACAAAAACUAUUAUUAGAAUGUCUUCCGUCUCUGAGAGCGGUGCGCAUGCGCGUGAGGACGUUUCUACUUCUGCCUCAUCAUAAAGCAAGCGACAACCGCGUACGAUUUGUGCGAGCGAUCUGGUGGUACUGUGCGCGGAAAAAUCAGCUAGCUGUACUUGAAUUAAAUAAAAAAUAGCACGAAAAUAAGAAUAUCAAACACUCGUGUGAUAUCUACACAAUAUUAUAAUACUAUAUGUAUAAUAGAACGAAAUCGGUACAUGAAACAAUCCAAAUGAAUUGUUCAGCUCACUCGUUAGUUUCCUACAAUACAGUAUGCAGUACAGUUUCACAAGUAUGUUUUAUAGUUAAACCGCAAGAAACAUUGAGCAAAAUAUUUUCUAAGGAUUCUUAGGAGCAUUGUAUUUCUUUAUAUGGGGAAUUAUUCACAUGGUUCAAUUCAACAAUACCUAGUAUUAUACGGUUUGUCUACUAAAUUGUACAUAUGAUAGUGAGAACAAAUUCAUUAAAAAUACGGUCAUGGAUUUUCCGACCGAUCGUCAAAAUUUUUAUUUUUAAUAUGCAUAAGAUGACUAAGAAAUUGAAUUUUUUAGUGAAAACUACUUUCACUCUUGCACAUUUGAAAUAAAGUGCAUUUAGGUCCAAAUCGGCAUCCUAAGUUCAUUCAAAAAGAGUGCGCGAUGAUUGACCGAACAAACGGCCCUGCGAGCAUGCUGUUUACUUGUUGUUGCGAGGAAGGUCCUCUACUAGUAAUUAAUUAAUUAUUUAUCUUUUUUAUAAACAAUAAGACAAUU